UACGUAGGGGGCUAGCGUUGUCCGGAUUUAUUGGGCGUAAAGAGCGUGUAGGCGGCCAGGUAGGUCUGCUGUGAAAACUCGAGGCUCAACCUCGAGACGUCGGCGGAAACCAUCUGGCUAGAGUCCGGAAGAGGAGAGUGGAAUUCCUGGUGUAGCGGUGAAAUGCGCAGAUAUCAGGAAGAACACCCAUGGCGAAGGCGGCUCGCUGGGCCACUCCUGACGCUGAGACGCGAAAGCUAGGGGAGCGAACAGG
rnacentral:rRNA from 1 species